rnacentral:rRNA from 1 species
GACGAACGCUGGCGGCGUGCCUAAUACAUGCAAGUCGAACGCAGUGGGGACGGGUGAGUAACACGUGGGUAACCUCCCAUCAGAGGGGAUAACACUUGGAAACAGGUGCUAAACCGAUACUGAUGGAUGAACCCGCGGUGCAUUAGCUAGUUGGUGAGGUAACGGCUCACCAAGGCCACGAUGCAUAACCGACCGGAGAGGUUGAGCGGCCACACGGGGACUGAGACACGGCCCAGAUUCCUACGGGAGGCAGCAGUAGGGAAUCUUCGGCAAUGGACGAAAGUCUGACGGAGAAACGCGGCGUGAGGGAAGAAGGUUUUCGGAGCGUAAAACUCUGUGGUGAGGGAAGCGGUAUCUAACCAGAAAGCCACGGCUAACUACGUGCCAGCAGCCGCGGUAAUAC